CUGCCUGACCGCCGCGGAGGCUGGCAGUUCUGGGUCAGGCUGACCUGGGGGAGAGAGGUUUUAUGUCGUGAUAAGAGCCUCCACUUACAGCUCCAGUCAGUAUCUCCAACCCUCUGAAGCUCACAUUCACAGCUCUCCUCCCGCCAGCCCCCCCAGGGCACUCUCCCCACAGCAUCAUCACCCCCGAUCUGAC